rnacentral:piRNA from 1 species
UCAGACAAGGUUCUGGAACAUUCUCCACAC